UCUCUCCCUUUGCAGUCCCUUCCCUCAGUCAUCUGUUAUUCAUGAUAUUUCGGACAGGAAAAGCGUAAGGUAGGCAGGUUAGAAAUCAGCAUGCAUGCAUCUAUGUGCGCAUGCAUGAUAUGUGUGUGAAAAACCAUUCGAACCGAAAGCGGAAUUGGCUGUGCAAGUAACCAUGGAAACGGGAGACCAAAACAAAAAGGUCCGGGAGAUCUGUGUCUUUCGCAUUGCUUGCUGAUACAUAUACAAUAGAAUGUCGAUUAUCUAAAGUUAUGUGGAAUGACGGUAUUUUGGAUAACUGACAAUUCGAACGAAGCAGAAGAUGCAAUUAUUUCGGAUAAAACUGAACUGAUGCAAACAGUUUUGACAGUUUAUAUGAAUCUUAUUGUUAAUGAAGAUGAUAUUCCUUAAACUGGGAUGAUGCUCAAGCUAAGAUUAAGACUGAGAUCUCCGAAGCCGUUAGAGUAAAGGUAAAAACAGAAUGUAUUUCAACAACUCAUAAAUUCAGAAAAGAGAAUAUAAAUUGUAUUUAUUUUAUACAUUAUGGAAAUAAAUUUCUUGAUAUUUUUAUGGAA